GACGAACGCUGGCGGCGUGCCUAAUACAUGCAAGUAGAACGCACAGUUUAUACCGUAGCUUGCUACACCAUAGACUGUGAGUUGCGAACGGGUGAGUAACGCGUAGGUAACCUGCCUGGUAGCGGGGGAUAACUAUUGGAAACGAUAGCUAAUACCGCAUAAUAUUGAUUAUUGCAUGAUAAUUGAUUGAAAGAUGCUAUUGCAUCACUACCAGAUGGACCUGCGUUGUAUUAGCUAGUAGGUGAGGUAACGGCUCACCUAGGCGACGAUACAUAGCCGACCUGAGAGGGUGAUCGGCCACACUGGGACUGAGACACGGCCCAGACUCCUACGGGAGGCAGCAGUAGGGAAGCUUCGGCAAUAGACGAAAGUCUGACCGAGCAACGCCGCGUGAGUGAAGAAGGUUUUCGGAUCGUAAAGCUCUGUUGUAAGAGAAGAACGGGUGUGAGAGUGGAAAGUUCACACUGUGACGGUAUCUUACCAGAAAGGGACGGCUAACUACGUG
rnacentral:rRNA from 1 species